UUGGAGGGCAAGUCUGGUGCCAGCAGCCGCGGUAAUUCCAGCUCCAAUAGCGUAUAUUAAAGUUGCUGCAGUUAAAAAGCUCGUAGUUGAAUUUCGGGACUAUCAUGUCGGUCGUGCCUCGGUACGUACUGGUAUUGUUGGUUUCUCCCUUCUGACGAACCAUGAUGUCAUUUAUUUGGUGUUGUGGGAAAUCAGGACUGUUACUUUGAAAAAAUUAGAGUGUUUAAAGCAGGCACACGCUUGAAUACAUUAGCAUGGAAUAAUGAAAUAGGACGUUUGAUUCUAUUUUGUUGGUUUCUAGGAUCGACGUAAUGAUUAAUAGGGAUAGUUGGGGGCAUUAGUAUUCAAUUGUCAGAGGUGAAAUUCUUGGAUUUAUUGAAGACUAACUACUGCGAAAGCAUUUGCCAAGGAUGUUUUCAUUAAUCAAGAACGAAAGUUAGGGGAUCGAAGACGAUCAGAUACCGUCGUAGUCUUAACCAUAAACUAUGCCGACUAGGGAUCGGAUGAUGUUAAUUUUUUAAUGACUCAUUCGGCGCCUUACGGGAAAC
rnacentral:rRNA from 1 species